UUCUCACCUAGCCAGCAGGGUCGCUUUCUGCUGUGUGCUGCUAGCAGCAUGUUUUAUGUUUAAGAUGUUUAAGAUGUUUCAUCAGGUUAUUUAUAAAGGAAGAAUAUUGCUAGAGUCUCAGCUCUUGAAAUUUCAUCAUGGUCGGUUCAUGGCUUAUUUCAGAUUUUGGCGCAUUUUAUAACAAAAAACAAGUCCAGCAUCAAUGCAUCUCUAAUUAUGUAGGGUAAAAAGAAAUGGACCUUAUAUUCCUUCACUCCUUAUCACAGCCAAGAAUCCAAACAUGAACCCAAGUUGUAUGGCUAAGAAAAUAAUCCACAUGGGUCAGAAAAGGACAAGAAGUUUAUUGAUUGCAUCAGGUUCCUAGCUCAAAUAGCCAUGCAUUACACCUUUGGCAGGUUGUUAUGUGGAGCUUUGAGGCAGAACUUGACAUGCUGCUAAUACAAAAAAAAAAAAAGCCUUUAUUCCCAUAAGGCAGUGCAUCUAGUUUAACUGAGGCAGACCUGAUUAUUCAUUAGCUGGUAAGAGCUUUAUUCUGGUUAGGGUCACAGUGGAUCUUGAGUUUAUCCCAGGAAUACUAAAUGUGAUGCCAGUUCAUCAGAAAACACUGGCUGUCUCUGGAGGAAGCCCAGCUUUGUUGCCAAAUGUUCCUGUCCAGGAAGAAAGAUAUCAACAGAUAUUGCAGAUUAUAAUAACCAAAUGGGACCAUGAAACUAAAGUUUGAACUCCCUCAGCAGAUGUUGGAUUAAGGGAUCAAGCUUAUAAAUGAGCAGGUGUGUAAUAUUUGCUUUCAUAAAUGAUGAGUGUUGCAUUAAUUUCCCCAUCAGCCUAGUGGAUGGUGCGCCCUUUUUUCCUUUUUCCAUCCAUUUCAAUGCGUGACAACGCCGACAGAGAUUGUUAUCAUUGUUUUCUAAUAACAUGGUCGCACCUGAAACGGAGUGCGAGUCAAAACCUGGUGAACAUAUGAUUACAUUUGCAUACAUCUGCAUGCUAAUAGAAGCCGCUGUCACAUCUGUGGAUCGGCGAUAGUUCCACUGGAAUCUCAAACACCAGCCGGAGCCACCUUUCAAGCUUCUUGUGGAGAAGAAACAGACAACACAAUAGCUGUGUGGUCAAUGGAGGCUACUUUUCAGAUUUUCAUCAUCAUUCGGUAGCUUGGCCUCCUCCAUCUGUUUGGCAUGUUUAUAGCAAAUCAGACUGCACCAAAGUGCAGCACAAACUGAGCUUCUGUGUUGUUUUGAAGGCAGGUUAGGAAGAAGAACAAUGCAUCCAAAUCAGGUGCCAAGGGCUUGAUUAUAGUGUAGAGAUGUGCGAGAUGUGCCUGAUUAUGAAGUGGAUAUACAGUAAUCCCCCACUUUACCACGGUUCGAAUAUUUCCUGCAAUAUUGACUCAGCGACAAUGAAGAUUUGGAUAGAAAGAUUUAGAGAUUUACAAGGUAGGAUAUUUUCUAAAGUUAUAAAUGAUUAACACAUAAACCAACUAUUUUUAUGAUUUAAUGGGUCUUGAUUUAAUAAAUAUAAUUGUUUUGUCUUGAAUGCAGUCAUAAGCGAAUCAACUAUUACCUGCUUUCUAUAAAAAUAAAUAGAUAUUUAGUGUAAUUUUGGUCAAUAUAAGAUGUGAACUGUUGACUCACUAUGUGCAUCAUGUUUGACACAUUAUGUGUUUAUGUUUUCUUUAAAUUGCUUUGUCAUCUCAACGUUCAUUUUGCUUUGCUAAUAUGCUAACUCUCCAACAAACAUAUGAAUGUUCUCUAAAUAUAAACAUUUAUAGAAUUUCUCCUUUGUUGGCAACUAUUUGUUACUUGAAUCAUUGUAAAAAAAUAUAGUCAUGUAUCAUAUUUAAGCAAAUUGUGUUUGUAUUUGUCAUCUCUAUGUUUAUUUUACAUUGCUAGAAAUAUCUUUUAGAAAUAUGCCAAAACAUUGGUCAAACCCAGUUAAAUGUUUAUGAAUGUUAUCUACAUUUAAAGGUUUGAUUUCAUGUUAAAACAAAUUGUGUCUUCAUCUUCUUCGCUGAUCAUCCGUUUCCAAAGCCCUCUGUCCACUACAUCUGCCAUUUUCAACCCAACUACCCGCAUGUCUUCUCUCACCACAUCUAUAAACCUCC